AUUGAACGCUGGCGGCAGGCCUAACACAUGCAAGUCGAACGAGUGGCGGACGGGAGAGUAAUGUCUGGGAAACUGCAUGAUGGAGGGGGAUAACGACAGGAAACGGGAGCUAAUACAGCAUACCAUCAGAAGUGCCCAGAUGGGAUUUGCUAGGUGGUGGGGUAAAGGCUCACCAAGGGGACGAGCCAUAGCUGGUCAGAGAGGUUGACCAGCCACACUGGAACUGAGACACGGUCCCGAUUCCGACGGGAGGCAGCAGUGGGGAAUAUUGAACAAUGGGCGCAAGCCUGAUGCAGCCAUGCCGCGUGUAUGAAGAAGGCCUUCGGGUUGUAAAGUACUUUCAGCGGGGAGGCGUUACCCGCAGAAGAAGCACCGGCUAACUCCGUGCCAGCAGCCGCGGUAAUAC
rnacentral:rRNA from 1 species